GUUAGGGUUUUGGGUUUAGAUUAAUUAUUUUUUAAUUUAUAUUUUGAAUAUGUUCUUAUAUGAUUGUAAAAGAGAUAAUAAUAAAUUUGUUUAGGGUUUUUAGUUUAGGGUAUAUGAUUAAUUUAAGAUUUAAGGCCGGUUUAGGAGCUCAUAUUUUAAGGAUUAGGGAGUAUGGAUUUAGGGAUUAUGGAUUAGGGAUUAUGGUUUAAGGGUUGGGAUUUAAGGUUUAGUGGUUAAGGGUUUAGGGGUUAGACGUUAGGGGUUAAGAGUUAGGGAUUUAAGGUUUAAGGAUUCAGGGGCCGGGUUAAGGUUUUGAGUAGAUUAAUUAUUUUUUUAAUUUAUAUUUUAAAUAUGUUCUUAUAUAAUUGUAAAAUAGAUAAUAAUAAAUCAAAUAUAUUGAAAUUAUGAGCAUAGUUUAAAUUAUUUAAGAGAUAUAUAAUAGAUAGACUUUAUAUGUAUUGAAUGGUUAAUUUAGGGUUUAAGGUUAAGGUUUACUUGAGAUUUGUUAAUAGAUAUAUAAUGAUAUGGAUAUAUAGGUACUUAUUUAAUUUGGAUAAUUCUAACUUAAUAAUUAAUUACAACCAUUUUAUCAUUUGUUUUCUUAUUAAAAUACAUAAUUUUUAUUUUGAGAGUACUUGUUUUUUUUUUAUUUUAUAAAAAACCAAUUUAUAAAAAACAAAAUAAAAAAGGUUAUGAGCAAUUUGACAUAGUUCUUACGGCUUUCCUGCAAAGAAUAUCGGAUACUAACAAGCUGGUACAAGGGGCUGCUUGUUCUGCUCUUGCAAUACUUGAGGAGGUUGUAAACUUGUUGUAUGACCAGUUACUUUUGGGAUUUAAAUUCUUACAAGUUUCAACCUUUGCCUUAUACAUUUACAGGAGGCUGCCGAAAAGUUGGCACCAAUCAAACUAGGUUCGUUUACUUAUACUACCAAAUCUUGAAGCGUAUUUGCAACUUCUUGAACCUGAAAUAAAAAGACACGAGGCCUGGUGUGUUUAUAGGGCCCUGCUGCGUGCAGCUGGACUGUGCAUGUAUGGUCGGCUUAAAAUGUUCCCCAGUUUGCUAGCACCCCCAACUCGUCCCGUAUGCAAAAGCAACAACAAAGUUACGACAAAUAAACGAAAAGCAAGCACGAACGCCUUGAUGCAGCAGCAACCACCUGCCAAGAAAAUAGCAACUGAGAGUUCAAUAGGUACACUUAAAAUAUUAAUUCUAAGUGAUAGAAAAUGCUUGUUAAGCAUUGGACAAUGGGGACAAGAGUUGGAACCUUAACAUGACCAUUUUUCGGCAGAUAAAGCAUGUUUACAUUUGUGAAGCAACAUUGUCAAAGCGGUUGAUUGAAUUUGAGAAUACUAACGCUGGAGCCUUAACGAUGGAGGAGUUUACGGAAAAGGAGAGGGAGCUUCGAACUAGUUCACUAACUAGAAAACAACCAAAUAUUGGGUCAAAAGAAACCAGCUUAGAUGAAGUGCUAUGUAGGCACAAGGAGAGAAAACCUUUUGCCUAUGGACUUUGUAAUGAAUGUUAUGAAGAGGUGAGCACCCAUGUACCUACUAGGCUUUCCAAUCGAUAGAGGAUCAGAUCCACCUGCAUUCCAGCUUGCUGAGAAAGAGAGACUGGCAAAAUUAUCUAUUGCGGAAAAUGCUAAAGUAUGUUCUGUAAUCAUACUUUCUAAAGGUUUAAGGACAGUAAUAGGUUAAAAAUCCUAAUUGUAAUCACUUGAUAUAUUUUACUUUGCGAGAGUCAUGUGGGCACUCAAGUUAUUCUCUCACAAUAUACUUCUCUCCCUUCCUAAUGUGCUAA